rnacentral:tRNA from 1 species
AGGGGUGUAGCUCAAUUGGUAGAGCAGCGGUCUCCAAAACCGCGGGUUGUGGGUUCGAGUCCUGCCACCCCUGC